rnacentral:tRNA from 1 species
AUUUAAGUAGUUUAAAAUUUAAAACACUAUAUUUUCAUUAUAGAAAUAAAAUUAUUUUUCUUAAGUU